rnacentral:rRNA from 1 species
GCCUAACACAUGCAAGUCGAACGAGAAUCGAUGGAUUGAGACUUCGGUUGAUUGAAGUUGAGGAAAGUGGCGAACGGGUGAGUAACGCGUGAGAAACCUGCCUUUCAGUGGGGGACAACAGUUGGAAACGACUGCUAAUACCGCAUAAUGUAUCGAGAGGGCAUCCUCUUGAUACCAAAGCUUUAUGUGCUGAAAGAUGGUCUCGCGUCUGAUUAGCUUGUUGGCGGGGUAACGGCCCACCAAGCCGACGAUCAGUAGCCGGUCGUAAAGGAUGAACGGCCACAUUGGGACUGAGAUACGGCCCAGACUCCUACGGGAGGCAGCAGUGGGGAAUAGUGGGCAAUGGGGGAAACCCUGACCCAGCAACGCCGCGUGAAGGAAGAAGGCCUUCGGGUUGUAAACUUCUUUUAGCAGGGACGAAGGACGUGACGGUACCUGCAGAAAAAGCAACGGCUAACUACGUGCCAGCCGCCGCCGUAACAC